AUGAAAUUAAGCAGUAGCCCACCUGGCGGAAGCCACCUCUAGGGGACGUGUCCCUGACUGAGCCUGGGGCUGCACGAGUCGCAUUCGCGUGAGCUUCUGGCUCCGUUCCUCUCAGAGAAGAGGGAAGCAGCGGCCGCGCGCAGCCCGCGGGCGGGAGCGUCCCGAGCGGUGGAGGCGCGUGCAGCUCGCGCCGGGGCAGGCGGCGUGCGGGGCUCGGCGGCGAGGGAGCAGCAGCGGCCGUGCAGACCGGGAGCCCCAGUUAGAAGUUCUGUGUGUGGGAGUGAGGUGCCCCAGUCUGAAGAUGCUCAACCACACUUCUAUGCAUGAGAUACUACUGAAAGAUGAAGUGGCUCUUUGAACAGCACACCAGUAAGGCCUCUUGGUUCAGAGAGUGCAACUGUGAAAGCUGAACCCUCCCAAGCAGAGCAAUGUGGAGCAGAGGAAGCACUGCAAACUCUAAAAGGUAUUUGGCUACACUGUACUACCCACUUUUCCCGAAGCAAUGAGUGCUAUCUUGCUUUCCACAAAAACAGCUCCUCUCCAGGUUCUUGCAUGCUUGCAUUCCCUCAUUCAGGGACACCUGGAUUCUCUCAGUACCUCUCAUUACUUCCCAAUCUUCAUCAGAAGAUUAUGUUAAUUUAGAUUAUGA
rnacentral:lncRNA from 1 species